GGCGUCUAACGAGAACGGGUCUGACGGUCAGGAACGAAAGCUAGGGGAGCAAACCGGAUUAGAUACCCGAGUAGUCCUAGCCGUAAACGCUGUGUACUAGAUGUUACGUAUUCCACGUCGAUAUGUAGUGUCGGAGCGAAGGCAUUAAGUACACCGCCUGGGAAGUACGGUCGCAAGGCUGAAACUUAAAGGAAUUGGCGGGAGAGCACCACAAGGGGUGCGGCGUGCGGUUUAAUCUAACUUCACGCAGAGAAUCUCACCAGCAGCGACGGCAGAAUGAAGGUCAGAUUAAAUGUUUUACCUGACGAGCCGAGAGGUAGUGCAUGGCCGUCGUCAGCUCGUGCCGUAAGGUGUCCUCUUAAGUGAGGUAACGAGCGAGACCCAUACCCAUAAUUGCUAGCAGGUGCUUUAGCACGACUGAGCACGUUAUGGGGACUGCUGUGGAAACACAGAGGAAGGUGUGGGCUACGGUAGGUCUGUAUGCUCCGAAUCUGCUGGGCUACACGCGCGCAACAAUGGCGAGGACAAUGGGAUGCCACACCGAAAGGUGAAGCUAAACCUUUAAACCUCGUCCAAGUCUAGAUUGAGGAUUGUAAUUCAUCCUCAUGACAACGGAAUCCCUAGUAAUCGGGUUUCAUCACGACCCGGUGAAUAUGUCCCUGCUCCUUGCACACACCGCCCGUCAAACCAACCGAGUUGGGUCUGGGUGAGAUGCAGCUUUUAGUUGUAUCAAAUCCAGGUUCGGUGAGGUGGGUUAAGUCGUCACAAGGUAGCCGUAGGGGAACCUACGGCUG
rnacentral:rRNA from 1 species